rnacentral:rRNA from 1 species
GGGCUUGACAUCCCACGAACCUGCCUGAAAGGGUGGGGUGCCCGCAAGGGAGCGUGGAGACAGGUGGUGCAUGGCUGUCGUCAGCUCGUGUCGUGAGAUGUUGGGUUAAGUCCCGCAACGAGCGCAACCCUCACCCCUAGUUGCGACCGGGUUACGCCGAGCACUCAAGGGGAACUGCCAGCGUCAAGCUGGAGGAAGGCGGGGAUGACGUCAAGUCAUCAUGCCCCUUACGCCCUGGGCUACACACGUGCUACAAUGGCCAGUACAAAGGGACGCGAGACUGCGAAGUGGAGCUAAUCCCAAAAAGCUGGUCUAAGUUCAGAUUGCAGUCUGCAACUCGACUGCAUGAAGGAGGAAUCGCUAGUAAUCGCGUAUCAGCCUGGCGCGGUGAAUACGUUCCCGGGCCUUGUACACACCGCCCGUCACACCACGAAAGCUGUCUGUACUCGAAGUCGCUGAG